CUGAGACCUGAUGCCGAGCCGAUUGUGGUGAAGUGGAUGAUCCUAUGCUGUCGAGAAAAGCCUCUAGCGAGUUUCAUGACGGCCCGUACCCUAAACCGACUCAGGUGGUCAGGUAGAGAAUACCGAGGCGUUCGGGUGAACUAUGGUUAAGGAACUCGGCAAAAUGCCCCCGUAACUUCGGGAGAAGGGGGGCCACACCUGGUGAAGGAACUUGCUUCCUAAGCUGGGGGUGGCCGCAGAGACCAGCGAGAAGCGACUGUUUACUAAAAACACAGGUCCGUGCGAAGCCGUAAGGCGAUGUAUACGGACUGACGCCUGCCCGGUGCUGGAACGUUAAGGGGACCGGUUAGCUCCAUUUCGGUGGGGCGAAGCUGAGAACUUAAGCGCCAGUAAACGGCGGUGGUAACUAUAACCAUCCUAAGGUAGCGAAAUUCCUUGUCGGGUAAGUUCCGACCUGCACGAAUGGCGUAACGACUUCUCGACUGUCUCAACCAUAGGCCCGGUGAAAUUGCACUACGAGUAAAGAUGCUCGUUUCGCGCAGCAGGACGGAAAGACCCCGGGACCUUUACUACAGUUUGAUAUUGGUGUUCGGUUCGGCUUGUGUAGGAUAGGUGGGAGACUGUGAAGCCGUGACGCCAGUCAUGGUGGAGUCGUCGUUGAAAUACCACUCUGGUCGUGCUGGAUGUCUAACCUCGGUCCGUGAUCCGGAUCAGGGACAGUGUCUGAUGGGUAGUUUAACUGGGGCGGUUGCCUCCCAAAGGGUAACGGAGGCGCCCAAAGGUUCCCUCAGCCUGGUUGGCAAUCAGGUGUUGAGUGUAAGUGCACAAGGGAGCUUGACUGUGAGACCGACGGGUCGAGCAGGGACGAAAGUCGGGACUAGUGAUCCGGCGGUGGCUUGUGGAAGCGCCGUCGCUCAACGGAUAAAAGGUACCCCGGGGAUAACAGGCUGAUCUUCCCCAAGAGUCCAUAUCGACGGGAUGGUUUGGCACCUCGAUGUCGGCUCGUCGCAUCCUGGGGCUGGAGUCGGUCCCAAGGGUUGGGCUGUUCGCCCAUUAAAGCGGUACGCGAGCUGGGUUUAGAACGUCGUGAGACAGUUCGGUCCCUAUCCGCUGUGCGCGUAGGAAUAUUGAGAAGGGCUGUCCCUAGUACGAGAGGACCGGGACGGACGAACCUCUGGUGUGCCAGUUGUCCUGCCAAGGGCAUGGCUGGUUGGCUACGUUCGGGAGGGAUAACCGCUGAAAGCAUCUAAGCGGGAAGCCUGCUUCGAGAUGAGUAUUCCCACCCACUUGAUGGGGUAAGGCUCCCAGUAGACGACUGGGUUGAUAGGCCGGAUGUGGAAGCCCUGCAAAGGGUGGAGCUGACCGGUACUAAUAGGCCGAGGGCUUGUCCU
rnacentral:rRNA from 1 species